UACGUAGGGGGCAAGCGUUGUCCGGAAUCAUUGGGCGUAAAGAGCGUGUAGGCGGCUUGGUAGGUCCGCUGUGAAAACUCGAGGCUCAACCUCGAGAUGUCGGCGGAAACCACUUGGCUAGAGUCCGGAAGAGGAGAGUGGAAUUCCUGGUGUAGCGGUGAAAUGCGCAGAUAUCAGGAGGAACACCGGUGGCGAAGGCGGAUCUCUGGGCCUGUCCUGACGCUCAGGCGCGAAAGCUAGGGGAGCAAACAGG
rnacentral:rRNA from 1 species